UUCUCAUCAUGCUACGAGCCUGCAACAAGACAUCACCAUCCAGUCGGUGGGCUGCUCUGGUAAUAUAAAUAAGAGAUCCAGGAUAAUGAAAUAAGAAGAUAUUCCGGCCAAGCACAGGCUGCCUCAACAUGAUGUGCUCUGGCUUUCAGCCUAAAUGGGGCGCAACCAUAGCUCCGGCCUCCGGGAGGCGUCAUCAGGCAUGUCUCAUCUCCCAAGAGAGCCAAACUGAAUCUCAACCUUAAAAUCAUCAAGGACUCAAGGUACAAUUGUUCUGAGUGCGGUUUGGCUUGGUCACGUUUACAGAAACUAGUCAAUAUCGGAAUUGUUCUGUGCGCACGGCGCAGCGGGUGACUGGAUCGUGCUUGUGGGCCUCAACAGGGACUCUGAACUGAUAGGUUGCCAGACAAAGCAGCUGCCAUACUGUUUGGUGGAUUGAGCACACAUGUGAAGGCAACAGCUCUGAAGACGACAAGUUGAGACCGGGACUCAGUGGCAGGAAGAAACCCCAGAAUCAAUGAAGAACCCUUGCAGUGGAUCCACGAGAUAACCACAGCACUUACUGGAUUGGUCCGGAGCAAUCCCUUAAAAAGGCACGAGGGGAGGAUUCGUAGACGCCGAACAAGAAUUGACUUGUCUGUAGAAUUCGACUUAUUGUCUGUAGAAUUGACUUGUCUGUAGAAUUCGACUUCUUGUAGAUCAAAUCCCAAUUGUAUGCAACAUUAGCUUGAAUUGCAUAGUUGGCUAUCACCUACUUGGCUUAUUGUCAUGGAAGAUAAGUUUGCAGGCAAUAGAAUUCGACUUGUUAUCUUU